rnacentral:rRNA from 1 species
GGGCCCGCACAAGCGGUGGAGUAUGUGGUUUAAUUCGAUGCAACGCGAAGAACCUUACCAGGGUUUGACAUCCUGCGAAUCUCUUGGAAACAGGAGAGUGCCUUCGGGAACGCAGUGACAGGUGGUGCAUGGCUGUCGUCAGCUCGUGUCGUGAGAUGUUGGGUUAAGUCCCGCAACGAGCGCAACCCUCACUUUUAGUUGCCAUCAUUUAGUUGGGCACUCUAGAGAGACCGCCGGUGAUAAACCGGAGGAAGGUGUGGAUGACGUCAAGUCAUCAUGCCCCUUACAUCCUGGGCUACACACGUACUACAAUGCUACGGACAAAGGGCAGCAAACUCGCGAGAGCUAGCAAAUCCCAUAAACCGUGGCUCAGUUCAGAUCGUAGGCUGCAACUCGCCUACGUGAAGGAGGAAUCGCUAGUAAUCG